rnacentral:rRNA from 1 species
UACGGAGGGUGCAAGCGUUAAUCGGAAUUACUGGGCGUAAAGCGUGCGCAGGCGGCUUUGCAAGACAGAUGUGAAAUCCCCGGGCUUAACCUGGGAACUGCAUUUGUGACUGCAUCGCUGGAGUGCGGCAGAGGGGGAUGGAAUUCCGCGUGUAGCAGUGAAAUGCGUAGAUAUGCGGAGGAACACCGAUGGCGAAGGCAAUCCCCUGGGCCUGCACUGACGCUCAUGCACGAAAGCGUGGGGAGCAAACAGG